rnacentral:rRNA from 1 species
UACGGGGGGGGCAAGCGUUGUUCGGAAUUACUGGGCGUAAAGGGCGCGUAGGCGGCCUGCUAAGUCGGAUGUGAAAUCCCUCGGCUCAACCGAGGAACUGCAUCCGAUACUGGCGGGCUUGAAUCCGGGAGAGGGAUGUGGAAUUCCCGGUGUAGAGGUGAAAUUCGUAGAUAUCGGGAGGAACACCGGUGGCGAAGGCGGCGACCUGGGUCGAGACUGACGCUGAGGCGCGAAAGCGUGGGGAGCAAACAGG